rnacentral:rRNA from 1 species
AUACGGAGGAUGCAAGCGUUAUCCGGAUUUAUUGGGUUUAAAGGGUGCGUAGGCUGUUCGGAAAGUCAGGGGUGAAAGCCCGGCGCCUAACGCCGGAACUGCCUUUGAUACUUCCGAGCUGGAAUACGGAUGCCGUGGGAGGAAUGAGUAGUGUAGCGGGGAAAUGCAUAGAUAUUACUCAGAACACCGAUUGCGAAGGCAUCUCACGAAUCCGUCAUUGACGCUGAGGCACGAAAGCGUGGGGAUCAAACAGGAUUAGAUACCCUGGUAGUCCACGCAGUAAACGAUGAUGACUAACCGUCGGCGAUACACAGUCGGUGGCCAAGCGAAAGCGAUAAGUCAUCCACCUGGGGAGUACGUUCGCAAGAAUGAAACUCAAAUGAAUUGACGGGG